rnacentral:rRNA from 1 species
UACGGGGGGGGCAAGCGUUGUUCGGAAUUACUGGGCGUAAAGGGCUCGUAGGCGGCCAUCUAAGUCAGACGUGAAAUCCCUCGGCUUAACCGGGGAACUGCGUCUGAUACUGGAUGGGUUGAGUUUGGGAGAGGGAUGCGGAAUUCCAGGUGUAGCGGUGAAAUGCGUAGAUAUCUGGAGGAACACCGGUGGCGAAGGCGGCAUCCUGGACCAACACUGACGCUGAGGAGCGAAAGCCAGGGGAGCAAACGGG